GAGAUAAAUGCCACAAAGACAAUAAGUAUGAUGUUGGAGGGUGAGAAACAGAAGGGGUUUUAGAUGCAGAAGUCAGGGUAGGUCUAUUUGAGAAGUGAUAGUGAAUGAAGCUGGGGCCUGGAAGAUACAAAGGAACUUGCCAUAGAGACAUUAACCAUUUGGGCAAAGAACAGCAAAAGUAAAGUCCUCAAGGAAGGGAGGACGUGGAAAGGAAAGAAAGCCAGUUUCCAGGAGCUCACUGUGACAUGAGGUGGCAGAUCUGGGGAAAGGCCAGAGAUUUCCAGUCUUGCUCUCUCUAUCUUGGUAGAAGUUUGGGUUUUACUUUAUGUGAGGCAAGAGACACUGGAGGGAGUGACAUGAGCUGAUUUAACUUUCAGAACGAUCACUGCAAGUUGGUAGACCUAAAGUGUCCACAAAGGGGAAAAUGCAGACACAAGAGCUGCAUCCUCCGGGCAUCACUGCAGAAGUCCAGGCAGAAGGCGAUGGUGACUUCCUCUGAAUGGAGCGAGUGGACUGGAAGAAAAGCAGAGACAGGAGACUGACAGGAGCAGAAGGGGAAGAAAAAAAUCCAGCAAUGAUUUUCACUGCUUCCAACCCCAAACUGGCCCAGUUCCUGCUCUGUCAUUUUUCACCAUGGCUGCUCCAUAAAGGUAAGAGUCACAUUCAGUUGCUAUGUGCUUGGUACACAGUUGGUGCUUAAUAAAUAGCACAGGA
rnacentral:lncRNA from 1 species